rnacentral:rRNA from 1 species
GUGUCAGCAGCCGCGGUAAUACGGAGGGUGCGAGCGUUGUCCGGAAUCACUGGGCGUAAAGGGCGCGUAGGCGGCCUGGUAAGUAGGGGGUGAAAUCCUGCGGCUUAACCGCAGGGCUGCCUUCUAAACUGUCAGGCUCGAGCACGGUAGAGGCAGAUGGAAUUCCCGGUGUAGCGGUGGAAUGCGUAGAGAUCGGGAAGAACAUCAGUGGCGAAGGCGGUCUGCUGGGCCGUUGCUGACGCUGAGGCGCGACAGCGUGGGGAGCAAACAGGAUUAGAAACCCCGGUAGUCC